rnacentral:lncRNA from 1 species
CUCGCCGUAGAUCAUAACAGGCAUUAAGAUUAGCGCUGCUAAGCAUAUCGGAUGCGAGAAUUUUGCGCUUGUGUUUCCAGCUGGGACUGCUGUAAGAGUCGAAUGCAAUAUCAUUAGUGCCGAAGGUAAUAAUCUGCGCAGCAAUGGGAGGUUCUCGCUCUGAAAAGGCUAUAUCAUGGUCACGAACCACUUCUUUUACAAGCGAUGGAGAGCUAAUUACUACGAUUAGCUUGUUUCCAAGCCAAAGUUUGUAGAUAGGACCGUAAACUCCGGCCAACUCCGUAAAGACCAGAUGGAGAUUAUCGAAUCCAAGAAAUGGAAGAUACCCCACUAUUGGCAACCCAAGGGGACCAGGCGGUAAUGGAGCCAUCGGUUUCCUUGCCUUUAGAAAUGGGUACCAGAGUGAAAGCCCCAACAUGGCAACCAGAAAUAGGAAAGCUGCUGGUAAGAAUCCAUCUUUCUGGUUGCCACCAUUCAACAGCCAUGAAAGAAAGCUGUAAGCUGUUUGGAACAUCUUUUUCGCUUUUGUGAGGAAAACCAGGAAAUUUUUACACUGAGAUUUACCCGGUAAGUGCAGUGCCUACUAAGAAGUGACCAUACUUUAUAGUACUAAAAUAGCUGUUUGGUAAUUUAUUUUGUUUUUUUUAAAUUCAUUUUCAAUUUAAUUUAAUUUAUGCAAGAAUUUAUAAAUGAACUUAAAAUAUUUAUAUAACAUAUUUCGGUGAAUUAUUAAUUUGAUUUAGUUGAUUAAUUGAAAUAUGCUGACCCAAAAUUUUAAAAAACUUCUAAUCGAUCCCUGUCUUUGCUGCUGUUGAUGAUGAUGUUCCUCUUGCAUCCUUUGUUCCUCAAAUCGCAAGAAAGCGGACAAAGAGACUUAUUACAGCAAAACUCUAUUUUGUCUCUUUCCUUAAUAAGAAGACUUAUUACAGCCAAACUGAAGAAGCUUUCUUCUUAGUUUAUCUCCAUCUUAUCUCUUUCCUUUCCUUGAUAAGAAGACUUAUAUAUUAAUGUCUUUGCUUACAGAUUUUGUAUGAUUAUUCAGUAAAUGAACUUAUUUGAGUGUAUAAUUAAAUGGUUCUAAAUUUUCAUUGAAAAUGUACUAAUGAGAAAGUGUUAGUAUAUUAUUAUGAGAUAUUAUCUUUUAGUAAUUUGAUUUCUAUGUAAUUAUUAUAUAUACUCUUGAGACUUAUCAAUAAAAUUUAAGAGAUUACCCCAUCCUCCACCACCACCAGUUCUUCAUUGCUUUUGAAAAGUGCUUUGAAAAGUUUGGUUUAAAAUUUGAGUGUUUAGCAUUGCUGUCAAAAAGUGCUUUUGAGAAAUAAAAUGUCCAUUUUAGAUAUGUUAUUGUCAAGUAACAAAUAUGCAUUUAAAUAAUAUUUAAAUUAGUUAAUAUUAUUAUAUUUUAGUAAGAAUAUAAAAAAUUUAUUAUAACUUGUUGUUAAUAUUUUAAUAUAUGAAAUAUAAAUUUUAAAUAUUUUUAAGCAAUAAAUAAUAAUUAUUUAUAAAAUUUAAUUAGAAUAUAUAAACUAUAUUUUAAAUAUUUAAAUAUAACCAUUAAAUAUUUGUAAUUAGUAUUUUUUUUAAAAUAUUUUUUUUAUUUUUAAUUAAUGAUUUUAACACAAUUGUAAUUAAACACCAAGAAAAAAAAUAAAAAUACCAUGUUAUUGGAGGGAUGAAAAAAUAAUUAAGCACCAAAAGUGCUUUUGGGAGAGGAAAAACUAAAAUUUUUAGCUUCUCCUUUUCAGCUCCUUUUCAGAAGUGUUUUUCAAAAGCAGUUCUGAAAAGCUAAAAAUUUCAGCCAAAAGCAGCUUGUUCUUCACAGCUUUUCUUUCAAAAGUGCUUUUGGAGUCAGAAGUGUUUUUUUUAAGCAAUGAAGAACUGGAGUCUUGAUGUCUAUCAAUAAAAUUUAAGAAAUUACCCUAGUCUUGUCAAAAAGUGUUCAUUUUUAAAAUUUUACGAGAGUGAAGUUACAACAAGCGUGAAUAAGCUUAAGCUUAAAUCAUAUUUUAUGUUGUUAAGACUAUAAUGAAUUAUUUAGUAGACAUGACCUCAUAAACAUAAAAUUGGAUCUAAACUACGUAACCAAUUAAUUUUAUUCAUCAUUUUACUUCUCCAUUACUUUUUUUAAUUUUUAGUGUUUUCUUAAGUUGCAACUAACAUAUAGCUUAACCUGUCAUUCAACACUUUCAUAAUUAUAAUUAUUAAUAAUGUUCUUCUCACCGACUAAUGGCGAAACUAGGGGGGCUGGCAGGGCCUGGCCCUGGCCCCGGCCCCCCUAAAAUGAUUUUUUUUCAUACGAUCCCUUUAAAAUUUUUAAAAUUUUAAAUUAAUAAAGGUAAAAUUACCCUUUGCCCCUUUAAAAAUAUAAAAAAUUGAUUUUUUUUCUAUCGUAAAAGUUACAAUUUAAUUUUGGCUCUCCCUAAAAAAAUUUUCUAGUUUCGCCCCUGUCAUCAACCUUAUGUUAAUAUUAAAAAAAUAUAUAUAUAGAUCUAAUACAUUUGUUUAAUUUUUUUAUAACAAAUAAUUAAUAAAAAAUAAUUACAACUGUGUUAAUAAAACUUUUUUUUUUAUCAAAAUAGAUAGGUUUCAAGUUUCUUUAGGGUAAAAAUUUAUUAAUCAAUAUAAAGUGAUUAGAAUUAUUUUAUUUUAUUAAUAAUAUUUUCAUUAUUAGUGUUACGAUUACUAACUUCGAAUGCAUACUAAAUUACACUUAUAAACAUGUAUUACUACAACAAAGAUACAUACAAAUUAUUCAUUUAAAAGUUCAAAAUAACCUUAUUUUUAAUGCAUUGAUAAUACAACUAAUUUAUUUACACCCAUUUUGUAGAUAUUAAAAUAAUAAAAAAUAUGGAUGUGCAACAUUUUCAUAUUUUUUUAAUUAUAUUUAAUUACAAUGAUGUUAAGCAUGAUUUGAGUUCUUUAUAAUAAAUAAUUAAAAAUAUAUACUCACGUGCAAUGCAGGUGAGUUUGAAACUUUCCAAGAAACUUUUGAAGAAAUAAAAAUAACAUUUUAGUUAUUAUUAUUAUUAUUAUUAUAUUUAGAAGUAGAAAAGUGUUUUAUUAAGUUUGAAAUUACCGUCCGUUGGAAUUCGUGUUGCUUUUGUUACUAUUUAAAUUACUUAUUCAAUUUUGACUUAGACUUAUAUUUUAAUAAUAUAUAAAAUUACUAAUUGAGUCUUAUCUAAGUAGGUAUUGAUAUUGUAUCGAGUGCAAGAAAACAUGAGUUUGAAUACGUUGAAACACGCUAUUUUCUUAUUUAAGGGUUGGGAGAGACUAUAAGUAAUUUUAAGCAUUGUAUAAAAAAAACAAAAAUUAAGAAUAAUAAACACAUAAACUCGUAAAAAAAUUAUUGAAAAAAAUACAAAUGAUAAAUUUGAAAGUUCUUUUUAUAAUUGUUAUAGAAUUCAACAUCGUAUGUUCAUAGAAUUUUCAAAGGAAAAAUAAAAAACGUUGUCAUCAAGUUUGACCAAAUCAAGAUUCUACAUGCUAUUUCAUCCUCAUGGAAUUCAAUUAAAUCAAAACCAAAUAUUUAUACAUACAAUUAACGUUGAAAUUAACACUAAAUUAUACAUUACACACUAAAUUAACGUUGAUAUAUGAAUAUAAUAUUAACCCUUUUCAAUAAAAUGGAAAAUAGAAAUUGCUGUUAAAUUCUACCCCAUAGAAAAUAAUGACAAACCAAAUUUGAAGAAAAAAGUAAAUUUCUCCUUGAAUAAUAUUGGAGUUCAAACAAGGUGGCUGGAAAGUAUUAUCCAAAUUUCUUAUUUUGCAGAAAUAAGCAACGAAGUUGUAACGCAAUCAAUAUAAUAUAUUAUCAAUAAGUAUUGUCGAUUGAAUCUUAAAUCGAUUGAUAUUAAUAAUGUUUUAGGCAUUAUACCAAAUAUAUAUGUCAGUAUAAGAGUCAAAAUAUAUUUUAGCCCGAAAAAAAUUAAUAGUGUAGAGCCGUAGUCCACAAUACUGACUUAUUUUGUUUUCAUUCAACCCUCAAUACUGACAUCACUACAGAAGAAAACAAACCAAAAAUAUUUAUAAAGUUAAGAAGAUGAGUUUUAACUGGAAGUGUUGGGCAGGUUGGUGCCGGCAAUGGAACACCAUUGUUCUGGUGCUGCCAUUCCUAUAUCCUUUGGGGCCAACGUAAGAGAUUGAAGAAGCCCCCAUAAAAUAAUGGUUUAAUAUUGGACUUUUAGUCCAAAUGAUAGUAGUAAUAAUCAUCAUUUAUGUCCUAAUAUACGGUCAGUCCAUAUUUGGAAAGAUAGAUUCCGCUGCCUUGAAUUGACUACACUACACAGUGACGCACAUGGCAGACCCCAAGUGUCCCCUCCCACCAGUUUUUUUUGGGCAAAUUACACAUAAAAGCCCUAUUUUUUUAAAAUUUACCGAAAUGGGCCCAGUAAAUAACUAUUUACCUGAAUGGGCCCAUUUCCCCGAAAGCACGUCCACGUCAGCGCGAUGUCAGGGUACGUGACAGGAAAACGCUCCCUCAAGGAUGCGUUUUGCCCGUUUUUGGGUUUUAAAGUUUAGGGUUUUAGGGUUUAGGAUUAAAAAUUAAAUAAAUAAGGGAUUAGAGUUUACAGUAGAGGUGUUCAUGUGUCGGGCAGGGCCUGAUUCGGGCUAGGCCCAAAAAAUUUUUGGCCCUCUUCCUAGGCCCGGGCUCGGCCCAGCCUAAAAUAUGGGCCUAAAAUUUUGUCCAGGCCCGGUGCGGGAAAAAGUUUCUAAGCCCGAGCCUGGCCCGCCCAGACCCAUUUUUAAUAAACACCAAAAAAUUACUUUAAAUAUAAAAAGAAUAAAAAAUAUUUUUAAAAUAUUUUAAAAUUAAAGAAUAAAAAUAUUUAUUUAUUAUAUAUUCGGGCCGGGCCGUUUCGGGCUCAAGCCAAAAAUGUGGUGCCCGAGGCCCAGCCCGUUUUCUAAAUGGGCCUCGCUUUUUUGCCCAAACCCAUAUUUCUGGCCUAUAUUUUUACCUAAACCCUCCCAUAUUUUUUGCCCGGCCCAUGAACACCUCUAAUUUAGGGUUUGUCAAUUAAAUUAUUAAAAAAAUUCAAAACUGGAUUAGUUUUUCGUGUUUAUUAUUUUUUAAAAAAAAAUCAAUUAAAUUAGGGUUUACGGUUACUUGAGUAAUUUAAUUAAAAAUAUUUUCAAAAUUAGAUUAGGAUUAGGGUUAGGGUUAGGGUUAGGGUUAGGGUUAGGGUUUAGGGUGUUUUUAAGUUAAGGGUUUUUAAGGAAAAAUCAAAUAAAUUAGAGUUUAGAGUUUAGGGUUUGUCAAUUAAAAUAUUUAUAAGUUUUUUGAAAUUGGAUUAGUUUUCGUGUUUAUUAUGUUUUAAGAAAAAAAUAAUUAAAUUAGGGUUUAGGGUUACUUGAGUAAUUUAAUUAAAAAAUUUUAAAAAUUAGAUUAGGGUUAUGGUUUAGGGUGUUUUUAAGUUAAGGGUUUUUAAAAAGAUCAUAUAUUAUUUAUAUUUUUUAAAUCGAAAAUUGGUACAAAUAUUUAAAAUAUUAACUUAUUUAAAAGAAAAUCUAUUUUAUUAAAAAUAUUAAAGUAAAUUACAAUUACUUUAUUCAAAACAAUAUUUUAUUUUAUUAAAUGAAAUAAUAUAGAAAUAUUCAACAUACUUAUUUAAAAGAAUUUCUAUUAUAUUAAAAAUGUAAAAGUAAAUUUCUAUUUUAGUACGAAGUGUACAAAUAUAGAAGAAUUUCUAUUUUUUUCACAUCAAAUAACAUCAAAAUAUUCAAAAUGUUUGUACAAAUAUAUUAAAAUAAAAAUCAAUCUUUGUGCACGCCAGAUUUAGUGCCACAUGGCGGCCGUCGAUGGUUACGCGCUGGAUUCCUCCUUUGUCUAGCUUUCGGCAGGGUUGUGGUUACUCCAGCGAGGAUUCUGGUUCCUCCGAUAGGGUAUCUGGUUGUCGGUGUUGGGACGAUAAGCCACCUUGAUAGAAUAGUGACUGUGGAGGUGUUUGCAUCACCAACGGCGAAGCUGUUUGAAACCCAUACGGUGAUGGAGAUUGGUAAAAAGAAGAGCUCCCUGACGGCCCCUCUUGCGAUCCUUCGUGCGACGCAGGUAUAUACAUCGGCGGUCCACUCGGCGUAACGGAAAAUGGAGAUGAACCGGACCAUGGACUCUAACCUGCCAUAGGACUCGGAAAAGGAAACAUAUAAGGGAUAGGAUAUAUAAAAGGGUUAGGAUACGCACCUAGCAUCAUCGGAAAAGGCUGUGCCGUGGGCAUCAUCAGUUGAACUGCUGGGUCGGGUGACUGUGUCGGUGCUCUCGCUGGGCCUGGUGAUUGAAUGGCCGUUGAUGAUGGGCUGGGUGAAUGUCUGGGCCUCGUUGAUGGGCCUGCGUCGUCGUCCCUUCGUCUUGGAUUUAAAGGCCCACGUCGUUCCCUUUGGACAUGUAAUUGCAGUUGCCUCUCCUCUGCCGACAGUAAAUACAGCUUGCCAUGGAUCCUAAACCAUGGCAUGUAUUCUGGCACGCACGCUAACUCUGGAACGAUGACCGGUUCCUGAAUAGGCAUAUAAUCAUACCGAUCUUCCUACAUUUGGAUGUAGUACAACCAAAAUCUCAGCUAAUCUGUAUGCAAUUGUCGUAGGUCGAUUUUGUGAUGAUCAUCAAACACCUCAGGUGCCACGGGAAUCGGUUGUCUACAUCCAAAUUGCCGUAAUACUUUGUCUGACUGGUGCAUCUCCACGGUCACAUAGUUGACCAAUAGUACUUUCGCAUGCCAAGCAUUCUGAUUUUGGAGGUACUCAUCCGGAAUUACUGCCCGAAUUGUUGGAUCCUCGUAUGGUGUCCAUUGAAACUAUAUGAACAUGAUGGAAAUAUUAGUUGUAUACAUAAUACAUAAUAAUAUAUACUAAAUACUAAAUGCCAAUCAACUAGCUCAUGAUGGAAAUAUCAAUUUUAUUUAAUACUUACUUGUACUUCCGACUGUUGGUCUAAUAGAAGCCGUAUAUCUUCAAGAGAGGUAGGUAAUCGAGCAUAACUUGCCGGAUGGUUCCACCUAAUUAAAUAAAUUUUUAGCAUACUAUUAUUUUUAAAAUCUACAUAAUAAUUGUAAAAUCUAAUAUAAAAUUUACCUCAUUAUGAGUGGGAAUGUAUAUGGGUGGUCCACUCGAGGACAUAAAAAUGGAAAGCGAAACCGUGCCCAUGACUGCAGUAGUGACAGGCAACCUCCGAUUUUUACUUUACUCGGUCACGUCACCCCACACAUCUCCUGAUAUAAUGUUGCCAACACGGCAGACCCCCAACUCAAUUCACUAGUUACUCUAAAAUCAACGAGUUUCAGCAGCCAUCGUAGAUGUACGAGGUUCCGUGACAAGUCCGGCAUCAGAUAACCUCUAAUUAUCUGAAGAAUAUAUGCCCGAGCAUAUCGGAUUCUAUCUACUUUGGUUGAAUCAUCAUCUAGAUCCGGGAAUGUGUCUCGUAACUAGCCCAUCUCGAUCCGACCUCCGUUAAUUUUCUUCGGAAUAGCUCCCAAAAUCUCGUAGUACACUGCUCCUCAAUCGCCAGAUUGAACAUACCCGGUGACUAGGUACCCAUCCACCGGUAAUCCCAAUUGCAGAUUGACAUCUUCCAAAGUGAUAGUGCACUCUCCACAUGGAAGAUGGAAUGUGUGCGUCUCAGGUCUCCACCUCUCAAUCAACGCACUGAUAAGUUUCGAGUCCAACUUGUAUCCUCGGCCUACCGUCGCCACGUGCCAAAAACCCGCUUCCCGCAGGUGAUUCUCUACCAACGGUGAUGGAGGAUCAUGCAUAUUAUCGAUAUAGCAUUCCAAUAUCCGAUCUAUAGACUUUUAUAACAAAUAAUAAAUUAAUAAUUAUUUAAAAAUGCAUAAAUAAAAAAAUCUUAAAUAAUAUUUAAAAAAUAAAUUUAACACUUACCAUUUUCAUUUGUUCGACGGAUAUGUGCUUGUUAUCAAGACGAAUCAAUUCUCCGGCCAUUGCUAAAUUCGUACAAAUUUUUACAAUUUAAAAAAAUUUAAAAAAAAUAGAAUUUUUUAAAAAUAAUUAAAAAAUAGGGAUUUAAGAGAAAUUUGAGAGCAAAUUGAGAGGACAUUGAGGUGUUGUUGAGAGAAUAAUAGAGAAAUGAUUAAUUUCUGGAAAAAAAAAUGAAGGGGUGGGGGUUUUUAUAGUUUUUUUUACCGUUGGGGAGUUCACCAACAGUCAAAAAAUAGCCGUUGCACUGUUCACGAGCGGGGAAAACGCGUCCCUAGGGACGCGCUAAUGUGGCAGGAAAAUGCGUCCACGUCAGCGCGCUUUCUGUCCAUGUGGACAAAGCGCACCCUUGAGGGCGCGUUUUGUUGCCUUGUCAGCAGAUAGCGCCUUGACGUGGACGCGUUUUCUCGGUAUGGGCCCAUUCCUGUAAAUAAUUAUUUACCGGGCCCAUUUUGAUAAAUUUUAAAAAAUAGGGCUUUUUUUACAAUUUGCCCAAUUUUUUUAAUAACAAAAUAACAAGUACGCCAUGCUUUAUUAAUUCUCUUUGUUAUAGUUUCUUCAAAAUUUCCCCUCUAACCAUGGCAUAAAAUAAUAAUAAUUUUUACCUAUUUCAUUUUCUUUUAAGGUGAUUAAUAUUUGUUUUCAUAACCAGGUUAAGUUGGGUAUGUGUUAAUUCGUGUUGAAAUCAAUUUUUUAGUCCGGUUGAAUGGAACCGUUUCGAUUCUUUAUUUAAUCAGUUCAAAGUCUUUUAAAUUAGUACUCCAAUCGACUCUUGAUUCAAUUGAUUUAGAUAAUAUUAGGACAAAUUAAUUUAAUGUUAUAGAGUGUAUCAUAAUUACUAAAACAUAUUUUUAGAGAACUAAAACUUUUAAAAAUAUCAUAAAUCAUAAACUCGUUUGUUUCACAUCAUUUGAUAUUAUAGAAAAUUAAAUAUAGUUGUUUUAUGUUGAAAGUUAAAUAUUGUACGAUAUUCAUAAAAAUAAAAGAAGAUAAAAACUAGUUUAACUAAUUUUUUUAAUCUGGUUCGUACCAGUUUCUCCUCAAUUGGUUUGAAGCCUUUCUCUAAACAAUAUUAUGCCUAUCAAUUCUCGGUCUAACCGAUUUGACAGACUAAUUUAGUUCAAAUAAAUAUGAUAUUUUGAAUUUUUUUGAAGUGGAGAAGAGAAUGAGAUAAUAAAUUAAAUUUAUUUUUAAUUAAUAGAAAUUAAAGGAGAAUUGAAAAAAAUAAUUUAAAUUAUUUUUCAAUACGUGUGGUGUAAUAUGAUUGGUAGUUGAAACAUGUGGUAUAAUUUGAUUUGUUGAGAUGAAAACUUAACGAGUGUUAGUUAUAUACUAAAAAGAAGUACCAAUUUAACUUACAGUUUGUAAGUUUAGGUAUUUGUUAGGUCCAAAAAAAGCUAAAUGCCAAGUAGGUACAUAUUGCCAAGUUUAAUAAUAGUAUAUUGUUGCUGAACGAGUGUGUGUGCUUAACUUAGCUGGUAGCAGGAUCAACCGAAAAGUACUAAAAUGCUGUUCAUAUAGAAUAUAAGUUACAUUGCAGUGUCGGCAUAAAAAAAAUAUUAUUUAUCCCCGACCCAAUCAACAAGCUAGAGGUGCUCAUGGGCUAGGCCGGGCCUAGAAAAAAUUUUGGCCACGUCCUAAGCCCGGCCCGAAAUAUGGGCCUAAAAUUUUGUCUAGGCCCAGCUCGAGAAAAAUUCCUAAGCCCGAGCCCGGUCCGGCCCUUUUUUAAUAAACACUAAAAAUUUAUUUUAAAAAUAAAAAAUAAAAAAGUAUUUUAAAACUAUUUUAAAAUUAAAAAAUAAAAAUAUAUAUUUAUUAUAUUCGGGCAGGGCCAGGCCCGGCCAAAAAAGUGGUGCCUCCUGAGGCCCGGCCUGUUUUCUAAACGGGUAUCUUUUUUUUGCCCAAACCCAUAUUUUGGGCCUAUAUUUUUACCCGAACCCUCCCACAUUUCGAACGGGACGUCGGGCUGGGCCGGGCCGCCUAGCCCAUGAGCACCUCUACACAAGCAAUAAUUACACAGUGAUGAACUUUGGUGCUGACCAUCGGAGUGUCGGCAUUGCCCAACAUUAUAGAUUACAGGUCAUUUUCGUUAUAGGUUUUGAAUCUAAGUCAUUUUCGUAAAUAAAAAAUUUUUCGGGUCAUUUUUGAAAAAAAAAGUCUUACUUAGAUCUUUUAAUUUCCUUCAAAUCAGUAUAUUAUGAGUGCAAAAUAGAGGGUUGUAGCUCAAAUUAUGAUAAAAAUACUAAAGUUACAGUAUGUGAAAGUCUCAGCUGUAAAACUUGCCAAAAAUAAACUUUAAACUUUUUUUUCUCAAAUUAUUCCCUAAAUUAAUAAUAGAUAAAAUAUAAGUAUAAAUAAUAUAAUUAUUAACAAAACUAGCAUAAGGUGAAAAAUAUGACUGAUAAAUAGAGAAAUUGGACAAUUAUCAAUAGUUUACGAUUUUCUUUUGUAUAGCUCAAGAUUAGUUGUGGGAAUCAGGUGUAAAGGGUUCUUUUUACCCAUAAUGAUUCCAAAUUUACCAGAAAGGUCAACCUUUUCGUCUUGGGGCAAUUUCCACUCAAAAGAAUGCAGCAAUGGGGCCAAUAUGAAAGAUAACAUCUUCUCCCCCAAGUUAAUGCCUGGACACUUUCUCCUUCGGGACCCGAACGGCAAAUAUCAAAAAUCAUUUCCACGGAAAUCUAAUUUUCCAGGCUCAUUUAAAAACCUCUCAGGUUGAAAUUCCAUAGGAUUGUCCCAAAUAUUAGGGUCCCUGUGAAUGGAGCACGUAUUUAGGAACACCCUACUACCCUUUGGUAUGGUAUAGCCACCCACAGUGAGCGAUCGGGCUGAACAUCGGGGAACAAGGAGCGGCAACACUGGAUGUAAUCGGAAGGUUUCCUUUAUCACUGCAUUUAGGUAUCUUAAAUUAGGCAAGUGAAACUCUUCAACAGUAUUGUUUACCCCAAUGACAUCAUUUAAUUCUUCCUUCACUUUCUCCAUUAUUUCUGGAUGUUGCAUCAGCUCUGACAUUGCCCACUCUGUUGAACCCGAAGUAGUAUCUGUUCCAGCCACCACAAUGUUCUAAUUUAAAAUACGUUAGCACCCAAAACAAAUAAAAGGAAGAAGAAAAAAAUAGGAUAGUUAAAAACAUAGAAACUUACUACUAGGAUACCCUUGAUUUGAUUCAUUGUAAGUGAUGAAGGGCUAUCUUGGUUCUUAUGUAAAUCCAAUAGCAUCUGUAACACAUCAGAUUUUUGUUCACCAGUUUCCUUCUUCAUUCUUUCUUCAAUCACUGAAUCCAAAAAUUCAUUGAAUGAUUGACGGAUUUUCUUCAUUCCCCUCUCAAUGCUUUGUAUGUCAAACCAAGCAAUCAAUGGAAAAAUAUCGGAAAUGUUUGGUUUUCCCAAAAACACCAUUAUCUCUGCAAAAAUCUUUUUGAACUGACUCUCCACGAUAGUCCUUUGCUCUCCUUGGAUUUCGCCUCCCCACACCUUGUUGCCGAUCAAACUGGUUAACGUACGAAAUGCCAAUUCACCGACAUCAAUCAGCUUACCGACGUUUUCAUACACAUCCCCCACCAUUUCCAUCGGAUGCGAGAAUUUUGCGCUUGUGUUUCCAGCUGGGACUGCUGUAAGAGUCGAAUGCAAUAUCAUUAGAGCCGAAGGUAAUAAUCUGCGCAGCAAUGGGAGAUUCUCGCUCUGAAAAGGUUAUAUCAUGGUCACGAACCACUUCUUUUACAAGCGAUGGAGAGCUAAUUACUACGAUUAGCUUGUUUCCAAGCCAAAGUUUGUAGAUAGGACCGUAAAC